rnacentral:rRNA from 1 species
UACGGGGGGUGCAAGCGUUAUUCGGAAUUAUUGGGCGUAAAGAGCGCGUAGGCGGUCUUGUAGGUCAGAUGUGAAAGCCCGGGGCUCAACCCCGGAAGUGCAUUUGAAACCCCAAGACUUGAGUAUGGGAGAGGGUAGUGGAAUUCCUGGUGUAGAGGUGAAAUUCGUAGAUAUCAGGAGGAACACCGGUGGCGAAGGCGACUACCUGGACCAAUACUGACGCUGAGGCGCGAAGGCGUGGGGAGCAAACAGG